AGUCUCCCUCAUUAUGCAGUACUUCUUGAUAAGUAUCUGAAAUGGAACAUGAUCAACUGCAAGACCAGAAUUCUGUAACUUGGAAAAAAGAUUCGCUGCCUCAUUCAUUUUCCCCAUCACACAAUGACCUUUAAUGAGCUCAGUGUAAGUUAUCAUAUCCGGUUCAUAUCCCCUUCCCAACAUUUCAUUAUACAAGUGAAGUGCAAAAUGAAUGCGCCCCUCAUUACAAGCUGCACUGAUCAAAAGAUUGUAGGUAACCACAUCAGGGAAAAGACCAUGACAAACCAUCUCCUUUUUGAGAGAAUUUGCACCAACAAUGUUUUGUACUUUUACAUGUGCAUGAAUCAAUGCAU
rnacentral:misc_RNA from 1 species